CCCCACUUAGCUCAGCGGUAGAGCAUUCGGCUGUAGCCCGGAGGGUCGCUGGUUCAAAUCCGGCAGUGGGGA
rnacentral:tRNA from 1 species